GUGCUCUCCCGAUCUCCUAAGUAUCUGAACUAUGAAUUGUGUUCUUAUAACCUAUCAACCAGAUAGAUAAAUUUUUUGAAAGAACUGUUCAAGGAAUAAGAAUAAGCGGCUCCCUCUCUCGCUACCAGUUGAUCCUCAGACUUAUUCCCUUGUUCCGUCAACUAAUCUUAAUCUUAUUCCUGGAUCUUGUUCGUGAUAUUGAUAAAAUUAAUCUUUUUAUAGAUUCUUCUAAUUUAUAUGUAUACUAAACUACUACAGUAUCAUAAUUUUUUUUUAUUAAUUUAUUUUUUUAUUUCUAUUUUUUUUCAUUUUCUUUUAGUGUCUUCUUUGUUAUGUUUCCUUUUCCUUCAAAUGAAUCUAAAACUCCAAAGUAUAUCUUUCCAUGGGUCGAAGAAAGAAAGAUACUUCGAAUAUUUUUCGAUUUAUUUUUGUCUGUUAGAAAAAAAGAGAAUUUUUUAUUUUUUCAUUAAAUUCAAUACAAUAUUAAAAAAAUAAAAAUAACUAGGAGACUGGAAAUGAAAGUAUCUUUCUCGCAUCCAUUCUCCAUUACAUUGUCGGAACAAAAAUAUCGGAUGGGUUGAUAUGGAAAUGUUUAGUACAUGAAGCCACAAUCUGAUAGAUAUACAUCUAAAUAGGUAAAUCGUAUUCUUAUAUAGCAUUUAGAUAGAAAUUAAAAUGAAUUAAAUUUCAAAUUUAUUUAUUAAAUUAAUUAAAUUAUAUAAAAUUAUAUAGAUUAAAAUGAAUCUUGGUUUGGAAUCAAAGAAAGAUAUUAAAAAAUCUUUUAUGUUGUAACUUGGAAUAAACUAAACCUUUUUCCGGGGAGGAACGGAAUAACAAUUUAUUCCUAUGGAACAUCUAGGAACAGGAAGAUUUAAUCGAAAAUAUCGACAAAUUCUUGUGAAGUCCAAAGAAAUGAAAUAAAAAAAA